AAGAAAACAAAGGAUAGGUGCAGAGACUCAAUGGAAGCUGUUCUAACAAAUGGAAUUGACGUUGACUACGUUGCGUUGGUAGCUGGAAUCCCUCUAUCGAAAUUACAGAAAGGAGGACCCUAUAUGCGUAUAUAUACAUACUGACAUAUCAAACGAUUAAUCACAACUCGAAUCUGGAAUCCAUAUUAUUAACUAUAACUAUAUAUUAUAGUUAUUAUUAUAUAUUAUAUAUAUUUUUUUUUCUAUUUUUAAAAAGAUAUAAUAUAUUUUUAUAUAAAUUUAUAGAUUAAUUAAGAGUUAUUAUAAAUAUAUUCCAGUCGAAGUUGAAGGAAGAAUCGAAUAUUCAGUAUUCAGUGAUCAAAUCAUUCAUUCCGGAGUCGGAUAGAUCUUUUGAAAAAAUGAUUAAUCGGACGAGAAUAAAGAGAGAGUCCUAUUCUACGUGUCAAUACCGACAGCAAUGAAAUUUAUAGUAUUAGGAAAAUCCGUCGACUUUAGAAAUCGUGA
rnacentral:precursor_RNA from 1 species